GUGCUCAUUCCAGCAGCACAUAUACUAAGCUUGGAACAAUACAGAGAAGAUGAGCACAGCCCCCGUGCAAUGAUGACACGCAAAUUUCUGAAGUGUUAAAAAAAAAA